GAGGACAUUGGUGAGAUGAAAGACGUCAGUAUCCGAUGUAAAUACACAUGCAUGCUCUGCUGUAAAAUCGUUUUGGUAUGUGAUUUCAUGGUUGGAUCUUGAGUACUUGUCAUGGCUCUUGAUUUAUUUUGGAGUAUUCACCAUCAGAUUAGAAACCAAAUAGUGAUACCACCAGACAUAGUUGAAAGGAAAUGUCCAUACACAGUCUUGGAGUACAUAGUGGUAGAGACAUGACAGUCCAUUACAUAUUUUGACUGAAUUAAAGCUUCUUAAAGCUCCAUGUCUUGUGUAAACUGUCUAACUGAAUGUUUGUAUUCUAAUAAAAACUAAGGUUGGAGACAUUUCAAAGAUAUAUGUCAGUGUAAAAAUGUUAAACAAAAUAUCUGUCUUUGUUAGAAAUAAAUAACCUGUCUUUGUGAGAAAUAAAUAACCUGUCAUUUGUAACUUUGUAUUAACUUAAUCAUCCAAAGACAAUUUAUCUUCUGCAAAUGGCUGUCCAAAACAGUUUCAACCAGGCAUCAUGUAGUUUCAAAACAGUUAAGAUAAAAUUGUUUUAAACAGACUUGUAAGGUGACAAGAAUGGUAAAAAGAUAAAUGAUCUGCAUUAAAAUGUUUCUAUCUUGA